GAGCGGGCCGCGCGUUCGAGGCGCUCCUGGGCGUCCUCCUGAGCUCUGCCCUCAGGUGCCCCUCUCGGUCCGUCCCGUGCCGGCCUGCGACCUGUUUGAGGACCGUAAGCCCCAUCAGCAGCUUCCAGCUUGCUUUCCGCUCCUUCAACGACGCCUAGCACUACUGCAAACAGCGGCAUCGCUGCCGGCACCAGAGCGAGGCUUCGCGCCGAGGCAGAGAGCCCGCAGCCCUCCCCACUUCCCACCGGCACCGCCAUGUAUUCACAGGGUGUCUCUCAUUCUCCUGUGGAUACUAAGUCAAAAAAUUCUGAGACGCAGUGUAAGCUAACAGAAGCACUUCCAUGUGAAAAACGGGGUAGGGAUUCAAUUGGAUGUGUACCCACAAAGAGCUCAAGAGACCCUUCCCCAGUGAAAAUUCAAAUAAAACUGGGAGACUCUGAUGAGGAAUGUGAUCUUGUCAUUGAUACACCAUCAGAACCUGCCUCUAAAAAGAGAAGAAGUAAAAGCCAUAUGGGCAGGAACAGGGGUGAAGAACUGGCUGCUGUAGACUGUGCAGAAGAAUUAGGUGAUGGUGCUCUACCAGACGUUCCCAAGCAUAUAGAAGAAAUGCCAGAGGAAAUUGUCAUUUUGAGGAAGAACAGCAGAAGUUUAAGUACUGUCAAAACACUAGACAGCGGUUCUAAAAGAGGAGAUAAGAUUUAUUUGCCUGAUGUAAACACUGAUAAAUUGGAGGCUUUGAAGGAAGUAGAUACCCUGAAUCAUGGUGAGAAGAAACGUGUAUCUUCGUCUGCUUCUGUCAUGGGAACCAUGAAAAAGGGCUUUUGGAAACGAGAGAAUGUGGUAACCAAGACCAUGGUCAAAGCAAUUGUUCCCAAGAGUGCUAAUGAAGACAGUGAGAGCAGCAGAAGAGUAACACAGUCUGUCUUGUGUACUGGUGACUCGUCAAAAGAUGAGGCUACAACUGAAAGACCUUAUAUAAAAAUUAAGACAGAGGAAGGCCAGAGAAUAGAAGAAAACAGGGGUGGCGAUAGCCUAGGAGAUACACACGUGAAUCCAAUUCACAGCUCAUGCAAGAAAGAAAGCAAAAUAACUCUGAGUUUACCCACUAAAGAAUUGCAAUCCAGUGGGGACAGCACAGAGGCCUCUGAAUCAGAUGACCUGCUAGAGGAGUGUCUGAGGAUUUUUGAAGAGUUUGGAAAGGAAAAACAAAUGGAGGCCUGUGAUCAGCAGGUACGUAACAAAAAUGCAGUAGCGUCUUUCAAAGCAUCUCCUGAGCAGAAGAGUGAUACAGAAAUUCAACAGGAACACCAGGAAUUUGUAGAUGCAACUAAAGAGAGACAAGCUUUUAUUGACAGAACUUCUGAAGAGAAGCAAAUUACACCUGGAUUGUCAGCUACUCAGUAUGAAAGCACUGAAACGAAAGUGUCUUCAAACUGAAGUGUGACCUAAAAUGCUCUAAAACACUUUGUAUGGAAUCUUUUGGCAGAAAUUUAUGUCUUCUAUCUUGAUGUGUUUCCUGACAUUCCAGGUUUGCUUCUGUGCAUGAGUUUACUCUUACUCUGUUUUAACAAAGGAGCUGUGAAAUAUCUGUGAUCCAGAUUAAUGCAAUUUAAAUAGUAAAGCUUACAUCAGUGGGUGCUAUCUUCUGCAUGUUUCAACCUGUUUUAAUUUUCUUUAAGUUCAGCCUAUUAAAAUGAGAAGUGGUCAGCUGUAUGCUCUACUGACAGGAAAUGCUUCAACGUCAAUGCCCUGUGGAUACUCCAUUAGACCACUCAAAAGGCCUACUGGUGUGCCAGGCAAGGCCAUGAUAGAAGAACAAUCUGUUUUUGACAGCUGUAGCAGUAGAAUGCUGUACCUCAGUCAUGCUAUGAGGUCUCACAUACAGU